CGGCCCAGACUCCUACGGGAGGCAGCAGUGGGGAAUUUUGGACAAUGGGGGAAACCCUGAUCCAGCAAUGCCGCGUGUGUGAAGAAGGCCUUCGGGUUGUAAAGCACUUUUGUCCGGAAAGAAAACUUCUGCAUUAAUACUGUGGGAGGAUGACGGUACCGGAAGAAUAAGCACCGGCUAACUACGUGCCAGCAGCCGCGGUAAUACGUAGGGUGCGAGCGUUAAUCGGAAUUACUGGGCGUAAAGCGUGCGCAGGCGGUUCGUUAAGACAGAUGUGAAAUCCCCGGGCUUAACCUGGGAACUGCAUUUGUGACUGGCGAGCUAGAGUAUGGCAGAGGGGGGUAGAAUUCCACGUGUAGCAGUGAAAUGCGUAGAGAUGUGGAGGAAUACCGAUGGCGAAGGCAGCCCCCUGGGCCAAUACUGACGCUCAUGCACGAAAGCGUGGGGAGCAAACAGGAUUAGAUACCCUGGUAGUCCACGCCCUAAACGAUGUCAACUAGUUGUUGGGGAUUCAUUUCCUUAGUAACGUAGCUAACGCGUGAAGUUGACCGCCUGGGGAGUACGGUCGCAAGAUUAAAACUAAAGGAAU
rnacentral:rRNA from 1 species